CAAUAGCGUAUAUUAAAGUUGUUGCGGUUAAAAAGCUCGUAGUUGGAUUUCUGCUGAGGACGACCGGUCCGCCCUCUGGGUGAGUAUCUGGCUUGGCCUUGGCAUCUUCUUGGAGAACGUAGCUGCACUUGACUGUGUGGUGCGGUAUCCAGGACUUUACUUGAGGAAAUUGGAGUGUUUACAGCAGGCAAACGCCCUGAACACAUUAGCAUGGAAUAAUAAUAUAGGGCCUCGGUUCUAUUUUGUUGGUUUCUAGAACUGAGGUAAUGAUUAAUAGGGAUAAUUGGGGGCAUUCGUAUUAACGCGUCAGAGGUGAAAUUCUUGGAUUGCGUUACGACGAACUACUGCGAAAGCAUUUGCCAAGGAUGUUUUUCAUUGAUCAAGAACGAAAGUGUGGGGAUCGAAGAUGAUUAGAU
rnacentral:rRNA from 1 species